AACGAACGCUGGCGGCAGGCCUAAUACAUGCAAGUCGAACGGGGAAAGCUUUCGGGUGAGUACUAGUGGCGCACGGGUGAGGAACGCGUGGAUAAUCUGCCUUAGAGUGGGGGAUAACUAGUCGAAAGAUUAGCUAAUACCGCAUAAGACCACAGGAGCUGCGGCUCAAGGGGUCAAAGGUUUUUCGCUCUAAGAUGAGUCCGCGUAAGAUUAGCUAGUUGGUGAGGUAACGGCUCACCAAGGCGACGAUCUUUAACUGGUCUGAGAGGAUGAUCAGUCACACUGGAACUGAGACACGGUCCAGACUCCUACGGGAGGCAGCAGUAGGGAAUAUUGCACAAUGGAGGAAACUCUGAUGCAGCGACGCCGCGUGAGUGAUGAAGGCCUUCGGGUCGUAAAGCUCUGUCGCAGGGGAAUAACACAAUGAAUGUACCCUGUAAGAAAGGAUCGGCCAACUUCGUGCCAGCCGCCGCCGUAAAAC
rnacentral:rRNA from 1 species